GGGAAGAGCUCAUCAUUGGAAUCUGGCAGUGUUUCACUGUCCGAGUUGUAGAUGAGGAGUAGUCCGUCUGGACUGCAUGGCGUCCAAGUACAAUAGGCCGUCAGUGGGACAUCAUAGAGGGUGACAAUCCCGUCCUUGACGCCAAUGUGCAAGUCUAUUACGAUGGCUAUCUCAGAGAGUCGAGCAGUUUGGGAUUUGCUGCUUAAACAUGGGAGGUAGAUUCCUUCUAAAGCUAAAUACAGGCGAGAGACCGAUAGAGAACAAGUACCGCAAGGGAAAGAUGAAAUAGCACUCUGUGAAGGGAGUCAAAAGGCGUGAAAUUGUUGCGAGAGAAGCGAUUCAAGUCAGCGUAGCUAGGCCCAUCAAGCGUCUUCGCUUUGGACUAGCUUUGCCAGCGGUCUUGUCCCUUAAAGAGACUUGACUUGUAAUAUGUCCAGCCUGGCGUGCACAGGCAGCCCCUUCUGGGGGCCAGUGACAUGGCUGGUGGAAUGGCUUGCAAUCGACCCGUCUUGAAACACGGACCAAGGAGUCUAACAUGUAUGCGAGUAUAAGGGUGGCAAACCCGUAUGCGCAAUGAAAGUGAUUUUCGGUGAUUGAGAAUGGCCUGAUGACCAGACAAGCAAUAUAUGUCCCUCGUACGGCCAUUGCCCAAGUUCCGUGGUAGAUCCCACGAACAUGGAGUUGGAGCAUACAUGCUAGGACCCGAAAGAUGGUGAACUAUGCCUGGACAAAGCGAAGCCAAAGGAAACUCUGGUGGAGGCUUGUAGCGAUUCUGACGUGCAAAUCGAUCGUCUGAUC
rnacentral:rRNA from 1 species